UGUAUAUUAUUUUAAGAGAUAUUGAGAUAUUUAUUUUCAGUGAGCCUCCUAUUUAUGGUAACUUUUCUAUAUUUUAUAAACAGAAGACACCCUUUACACAUGUGAAAAGUGCUGGCAGUGGCUGUCUGUCCUCAGAAACCGAGAAAGGGGAUAAAGUUUCAGAGGAUGAGAUCUCAACCCCAGAACAUUUUGUACCUUUGAAAAAAGAAAGAAAAGCAUCCGGGCAAAGACGCACUGCAGGAAAAAGACGUAUUCAAACAGAAGAUCCGAGCUCCAAGAAGAAAUGUGUGAAUGGAUUUAUUAUGUUCUGCCGAAUGAACAGAAAAGCGUAUAUCAGGUCCCACCCUGGUACAGCAUCUACCACAGUCACCAAAGAGUUAGCCCAUCUAUGGCACGUCAUGCCCAAGCAGGAGAGACGUUUGUACUGUCUGAAAGCCUGGAGGUUCAGUUGUCAAAACAACCGCAAUGUGCGUAUUGUAACACAAGAUGAAGAAACAGAGGCAGAUGACCCCAGUCCACUGCACAGGUUACUGGCUCAAAAAGACACCUAUUGUGCUAUCAAAC